CAUUAACUUUGGUAUAGAGAUAAAUUUGGAUGUGGAUGAAUUUAGGAUCACUCGAGUAAGUGAAUAUUUGAAUUCUGAACACAUGAGACAGCAUCAGCCCUCUUUGGAGCUCUGGAGGUUUGCAUACUUAAGUGAGACUGGUCCUUGGAGAAGAUGGAGCAGGUUCCGAAGGUCCGGGGCUACUGGCAGUUUGAGAGGUUCGGCUCAGAAGACGACUGAAGUCAGCCUAAGGAUGGGCCAGUGCCUAAUGUGUCCUUUGGAUGCUCCUUUGGUCUCACUCAAAAUUCUGGCACAGAGGAUGACUUUGGUCCUACUGUGUGGCAUUCGGAGGUGACUUUGAAAUCACGCAAAUAAAAAGUAGGCUUGAUGGCCAGUCGAAACAAUUUAAAAAACGACUUUACAAAAUUAGUUAAAAAUCAAUUAAAGGCUUAAUCUUGUAUUGCUAUGCGCACAAAAAGUUGAAGUUUUAAAACUUGGACUAAGACAAUGUUAAAGAAAAUCAAACUAUGUGAAUGAAAAAGUGGCAGAAAACUUAGAAGACUAAGGAAAAGUAAGACUAAGUAGUAAGGGUCUAAGAGAAAGCAAGAGUGAGCACCCCAACUUUACUGGUUUUAUCUCCUUUCCACUAGGAGUGUCUCUGGGGGGAGUGUGUGUCAGGAGAGCGAGAGAGAGGAGAGGUUGUUGGUGCAGCUCCUUGAUUAUUUGAUCUAACUUAUACUUUUGGCAGGUACAAGAGUGAGAUCUGAUACUCACUCACUAUGAUUAAUAUCAUUGAAUACUUGGCUUCAUAAUAAGUGAUUUGAUACUAAACACAUAUGAAUGAAAUGUAGAACUACAUCAAACAUUCUCAUUAUGUUUCAAGUAUCACAUUAAACAUGCUAAAUUACUCUGAAAUGAAACAGACGGUAACAUAGAAACUGUGAAUGACAAAAGAGUAAAUACAUGUGAAUGAACUUUAUCAUGAUUAAUAAUGGAUUCUAUAUGCUAACAUUCAGAUUAUUCAAUGACCUUAUUGUGGCAUGUGGUGUAUUUUGAGGACCCAGAAGCAGACACAGAGGCAGAUAGCAAAUUAAAGAUGUAAGUUGUCCAAACUCAAGGGGAAAAGACACGAUGAAAGUCUGGUUUGCUGGCUGGCUGUUGUGUGGGCUGGAGACAAUGUGGAAAAACAGAGGAGAUGGGAGUGAAACAACAUACAAAAAUUCACAGGGAGCAAAAAGUCACAAGCACUUAUCCGAAAAGAAGGCCAGAAGACGCGUCUGUACCACUCAGGAGUGAAGACAAUACUCAGGCGCUAAGACUGAGGACUGCUGGCUUCUUAAAGGGCCUUGAUUGUACAUGCAGUGCAGGUGUGGAGUCUUACUCAGCCCCAGUGACCGGGGAGGGUGGGGUGCUCUGAAAAAGAGUCAAGCCAGAACAGGGAAACCACGAAAAAGAGGAAGUCCAACCAAAAUAAAGCAAGAGGUGGCGGCGUCUCACCACAGUACCCCCCUCUCAACGAACGCCUCUUGGCAUUCUGCCGGGUUUGUUGGGGUGAGCGGCGUAGAAGUUGUCGAUGAGUUGAUGGUCCAGGAUGAGGGAGCGGGAGAUCCAGGACCGCUCCUCUGACCCAUAACCCUCCCAGUCCACCAGGUAUUGGAAGCCUCGGCCCUGAGGCCGCACGUCCAGGAUUCGUCCCACAGUAAAGGCAGGGUGGUCGUCAAUCAUCCAGGGGGGUGGAGGGGUGACGGAGGGAGGGCUCAGGGUACACGAGGUGACAGGCUUUAUCAGGGAGACAUGAAACGUGGGGUGAAUUUUGAGGGAUGAGGGAAGUUUCAGUCAUACCGAUGAUGGGUUGAUCAUUUUCUGGAUCGUGAAGGUACCGAUGAAGCGGGGGGACAGCUUGCGGGACUCGGUCUGUAGGGGAAGGUCAUGGGACGAUAACCAGACCAUCUGACCGGGGCGAUAGUCUGGUGCUGGAGAGCGGUGAACAUCAGCCAGGGGUUUGUUGCACUCAGCCGUGCGGGUGAGUGCGGCCCUGGCGGAUCUCCACACCUCUUGUAGACGCCCAAUGUGCUCCCUCACUGACCGGGUGCUCCUGUUCGGGAAACAGGGGGGGCUGGUAUCCAAAACAGCACAUGAAGGGAGACAUACCUGUGGCCAAGGAGGUGAGGGAGUUAUGGGCGUACUGGAUCCACGGGAGGUGAGUACUCCAGGAUGCUGGAUGAUGGGCCACCACACACCGCAAAGCUGACUCAAGGUUUUUAUUUGGCCGCUCCGUCUGGCCGUUGGUCUGCAGGUGGUAGCCCGAGGAGAGGCUAGUUGCCGCGCCCACUGGCUGGCAGAAAGCUUACCAGACCUGGGAGGAGAACUGGGGACCAUGAUCUGACACUAUGUCCAUGGGGAUACCAUGAAGUUGGAAUACAUGAGACACUAGGAGAUUAGCAGUUUCUGGAGCAGACGGGAGCUUGGGUAACGGGACAUAAUGCACACAUUUGGAAAAUCUGUCUAUGAAGGGGAGUAUGACUGUGUUACCUUCAGAAGGGGGAAGACCAGUGACGAAAUCUAGAGCUAUGUGAGACCAGGGGCGUGAGGGCACAGGCAGAGGACGCAGCAAGCCAGCCGGAGGUUGAUGGAAAGCUUUGCCUCGGGCACAGAUGGAGUAGGCAGCAACAAACGCCCGUGCAUCCUGGACCAUCCCCGGCCACCAGAUCCACUGCUGAAGGAAUUGGAGGGUGCGUUGAAAUCCGGGGUGGCAGGUGAGUUUAGAGGAGUGCCCCCACUGUAGGACCUGGGAACGUGCAACCUCAGGGACGAACCUUCCAUCAGGAGGGCCGGUUCCAGGGUCCGGGUGUUUCCGGAGGGCCUUGUCCACCACGGUGUCGAUCUCCCAAGAGUCAGAGCCGAGGAUACAGGAGGCAGGGAGGAUGGUGUCCGAUUCUCUGGGGUCUGAGGUAGCUGAGGAGUGUAUCCAAGAUAGCCCGUCAGGUUUGAGGUUGCGGGAGCCGGGAUGAUAGGAGAGGGUGAAGCAGAAUCUGCUGAGGAAGACGGACCAGCAGGCUUGCCUGGAGUUGAGGCGUCGAGCAGAAUGGAGAUAUUGCAGGUUUUUGUGGUCAGUCCAGAUGAGGAAGGGGUGUUGUGCUCCUUCCAGCCAGUGUCUCCAUUCUUGGAGUGCCCACACAACAGCCAGCAACUCACGGUUUCCCACGUCGUAAUUGCGCUCGGUGGGUGAGAGUUUCCGGGAGAAUUAGGCGCCAGGAUGGAGCUUCUGGGUCUCAGAAUCCCUCUGUGAGAGGACGGCCCCCAGUCCAGAGUCCGAAGUUUGACCUCCACCACAAAUUGGAGAGAGGGAUCCGGGUGUUUGAGCACCGGGGCAGAGAUAAAGAGGGACUUGAGUUGACGGAAGGUGGCGUCUGCUUCUGGAGAACGGGACUUUGAGGGAUGUGAGAUGGGUGAGAGGCACAGCCACCUUGCUGUAGUUCCAGAUGAAUCUCCUGUAAUAGUUUGCGAAGCCGAGGAAUCGCUGGAGGUCUUUGCAGGAGGAGGGAGUGGGCCAGUCACGGACAGCGCGGACUUUCUCCGGGUCUGGGCGUAGCUCCCCCUGGGUGAUGAUGUAUCCCAGGAAGCUGACGGAGGAGGCGUGGAACUCGCACUUCUCAGGUUUGACGAAGAGACGGUUCUCAAGUAGGCGCUGGAGGACGAGUCAAACAUGUUGCUGGUGUUCUUCCAUGUUGCAGGAGAAGAUCAGAAUGUUGUCCAGAUAAAUGAAGGGGAAUUUGAUGAUCAUGUCGCGGAGGAUGUCAUUGAUGAGAGCCUGGAACACAGCAGGGGCAUUGGAGAGGCCAAAGGGCAUGACGAGGUACUCAAAGUGGCCCAUGGGUGUAUUGAAGGCCGUCUUCCACUCGUUGCCCUCUCUGAUGCGAACCAGGUGAUAGGCAUUCUGGAGGUCCAGUUUAGAGAAGACGGUGGCGUUUCAGAGAGGUUCAAAGGAUGGAUCGAUCAGUGUCAGGGGAUAUUUGUUCUUUAUGGUGAUUUCGUUGAGUCCACGGAAGUCGAUGCAGGGACGGAGAGACGGAGAGGGAGAGGAAUCUUUUUUUUUUACAAAGAAAAAACCAGCAGCAAGGGGGGAGGAUGAGGGCUGGAUGAGUCCAGAUGUCAGAUAAUCCUGGAUGUAUUCUUCCAUGGCUUCUUGUUCGGGCCGAGAGAGAUUGUACAGUCUGCUGCUGGGGAGAGGAGCGCCAGGGAGCAAAUCUAUGUCACAGUCAUAGGGGCGAUGAGGAGGAAGGACGAGAGAUUGUUCUUUGCUAAAAACCAUGGCCAGAUCAUGGUAAACCGGGGGGACUGAGGCGAGAGAUGGUGGUGGGGGUGCUGACCUCUGUCGCUGGAUGAAGGGAUUGGCGGAGCGGAGGCAGUGAGAAUGACAGUGAGUACUCCAGGCGGAUCUGCAGCCACGGGAGUCCAAGCACUAAGGGUGAAUGCGGAGAGGGGAGCAGGAACAACCGGAUGUCCCCCCGAUGGUUUCCUGAAAGGAUGAGGGUGAGAGGAGUAGUGCAGUGGGUUAUGGUAGCCAUAACCCUGCCAUUGAGAGCGGUGACCUUACGGGGAACCGGGAGUGCCUCAAGGGGGAGCUGAAGCCGCGCUGCUAGUCCGGCGUGAAUUAAGUUGUCGUCUGCCCCGGAGUCAAUCAGGGUUUGGAGAGACGUAGAUUCUUUUCCCCACAGGAGGCAAGCAGGUAUGGAGAUACGUCUGGGAGAGCUGGGGACAGAGGAGGUGUGGCUCAUUGGGGUGCUCUCUGUCACUGAUGAGCCUGGCCAUUUAACUUGUUAGGACAGUUGGGCAGAAAGUGGCCGGCCUGGCCACAAUAGACACAGAGCUUCUGCUCCAUCCGUUGUUGCCAUUCACUGGGGUGUAAUUUGGUGCGGCCGAUUUGCAUGGGUUCCCUGGCAGAGGGCGCCGGAUCCGGAUGAACUGAGGGCUGCAGAGGAGACCCGCUGACCGCGACAGAGGAUGGGGAGUCUACGCUACGGGUAGGGGAAUUUAAUUUCUUUUCCCUCCCUCUCUCCCUGAGGCGAUUGUCUAAACAUAUGGCUUAAGCGAUUAGCUUCUCAAGUGAGGAGGGUGCGUCACAAGCAGCUAGUUCAUCUUUUAGCUGUUCAGACAGACCACAAGAGAAUACACCCUAUAACUCUAGUUUCCUCCACCCACUCUUGGCCGCCACUGUGCGGAACUCAAUAGAGAAUUCCGUCACAGACCGAGAGCCCUGGGUGAGGGAAAACAACCGCUUAGUAUAUUCGGGACCCUUGACAGGAUAUUCAAACACCUUGCGAAGUUCCUCAGUGAAUCUGGCGUAUGAGGACAACAUCGGUGAAUCCUUCUCCCAAAUGGCAGUUGCCCACUUAGCGGUUUUGCCUCUUAACAGGUUCACGGUGUAGGCUAUCUUGGACUGAUCCGAGGGAUAACUAAUUGGCUAUUGAUCAAACACUAACGCACAGCAGAGCAGGAAACCUCUGCAACCCCCAAUCUCCCCAGUAUACAGCUCAAGAGGAGGGACAUAGGGCUCUUUGAUGUUAAGAGAGGGUGGAGAGGGAACCGUACUCACAGAGGGGGGAGACCCAGAUUGCUGCGGUGGAAGCCGAGAGAGGAGUUGAUCCGCCAGUUGCUCUACUUGGACUGAGAGACCUUGGAAGGACUGAUUGAGGCCCUGGAGCAUAUCCUCAUGCUGACCGAGGCGAGCCCCGAGCUUGUGGACGGCUUGCUGGAACCUGUCUGGGUCUGCUGGGUCCAUUUUCCUGAGUAUUCUGUGGCGUGUGGUGUAUUUUGAGGACCCAGAAGCAGACACAGAGGCAGAUAGCAAAUUAAAGAUGUAAGUUUAAUGUCCAAACUCAAGGGGAAAAGACACGAUGAAAGUCAGGUUUGCUGGCUGGCUGUUGUGUGGGCUGGAGACACUGUGGAAAACAGAGGAGAUGGGAGUGAGACAACAUACAAAAAUUCACACUGGAAGUUAUCAUCAUAACUUCCAGGUUCCUCUAGUCUCUUCAGAGUGUAGUGGACUCCUUUGUUAAACACCUUUAGGAGUUUUGCAAUUUCUCUUUCUGUGUAUCCUUCUUUCCUCAAUGUACAAAUCAGUACUUUUGUUUCUUUACUCAGUUGCUUCUUUCUAGCCAUUUUUGCAGUAGUUUCAACGCAGUUGAUAUUUAUUGGGAUUUUUGUAUGAAGACUCUCAAAAGCCAAAAAGUUGAAGUGAAUAAUCCAAUUGUGAUUUUUUUUUUGCUUUUGCACUGAAGUUGUGACUCUUGCAAAUGUUUUCAACCCUAAAACUAAGCCCUUAUUAUCUUUUGCUGACAUAUAUUUAGCAACGGUCUUUUAACAUCAAUGUAUAUCUAAAGGUAAAUGAAGUAAAAUGGUGCAUUUCCAUGAAAGCGACAUCCGAUCAUGGAGUAAAUACAUCCCAAAAUACAUAAAACUCAUGCUGGAGUUAAAGCAAAAGCAUUGUGAAUAAAAACUCCCAAACUCCCAACUGUUCGGCC